GAUUUCCACCGCCUCAAUCACCGUCUUACUUUACCUCCUUGUCUCUAGUAACUUCAUCAGCUUAUGAUCUUUUACCCCUCUUUGUAUACAGAAGCAUCACUACUUCCAUAUACAACCACCAUUUACCCAUUUAGCUACAGCGCCACCGGCAUCCAUCUCUGUCGAGUCAGCCACCAAGCUUCCCCACCGCAGGUGCCUUGACGCCAUCUGCUGUCGAUUCCAUUUGAUAUCAACACUGGUGGGAGAAGAAGAUGUCAGACCAGCGCUACCACACCCAAUCGCAUAAGAAAGCCCUAAAAUUGAUUUUGAGUGGUUGGACAUGUAGUCAAUGAUGACGUAUAGUAGGAAAGACAAAAGAGACCUCAAACCCAUGAUUGAAACCAAGAAUUUGAUAGAUUUCAAGCCAUCAAAGUCUCCCCCUCUCUCCAUCGUCUCCGUUAAAAGAGCUUCAAUAGGUAUCCACAUUCACUCUAUUGAUUUUAUUCAAAAAUAUUGGGUAUGUCACUGGUUUUUGAUUCCUCCGCUCAUUUACAAUCGAUAACGAUUUCGAAUUUUCACUUGCAAAGACAGGUUUGAACACGAAAUCGGCAAAAUACAUGUAAGCAACUAAUUAAGCUUCUAUGCUUUCGUUUCAUUCCCGUCGAACUUACCUGAAAUCGACAAAGGAAACAAACCAGAGAGUCAUCAUGUGGAACGAAUUCAAACAAGGAUAAAACAGCACAAGAGUUGAGUUUGAGAAACGAGAGGUUGCGUGAGAAGAUGUCGAGAAUCUAAACGUAAUGCAAGUAUGUGUUUUUAAACACAAGGGUAAAAUGGUCAUAUACUCUUAUUUGUUUUUUUAAUGUUACUACUAUUUCACCUUUUAAAUAUUUUUUUAUGCACAUUAUUUAUGAUGUAUGUUCAGAUUUAUACACAAAGAGAUUAAAAUUCAAGCAUGGAAAA